CAGUAGCCACGGGAAAACAGAGGGUGCAAGCGUUAAUCGGAUUUACUGGGCGUAAAGCGUGCGUAGGUGGCUGUUUAAGUCGGAUGUGAAAGCCCUGGGCUUAACCUGGGAACUGCAUUCGAUACUGGAUAGCAAGAGAUCGGUAGAGGGCAGCGGAAUUCCGGGUGUAGCGGUGAAAUGCGUAGAUAUCCGGAGGAACACCGAUGGCGAAGGCAACUGCCUGGGCCUGAUCUGACACUGAGGCACGAAAGCGUGGGUAGCAAACAGGAUUAGAUACCCCAGUAGUCCCUGUCUCUUAUAA
rnacentral:rRNA from 1 species